rnacentral:rRNA from 1 species
GACGAACGCUGGCGGCGUGCUUAACACAUGCAAGUCGAACGGAAAGGCCCUACUUUUGCGGGGUGCUCGAGUGGCGAACGGGUGAGUAACACGCGAGUAACCUCCCCUUAACUUUGGGAUAACUUCAGGGAACAGGGGCUAAUACCGGAUAGAAGCUCCUGCUGCGUGGUGGGGGUUGGAAAGUUUCGGCGGUUGGGGAUGGACUCGCUGGUUACGAGCUGGUUGGGGAGGUAGUGAAUUACCAAGGUUUUGACGGGUAGGCGGCCUGAGAGGUUGACCGGCCACAUUGGUACUGAGGUACGGACCAGACUCCUACGGGAGGCAGCAGUGGGGAAUAUUGCGCAAUGGGGGGGAGCCUGAUGCAGCAAUCCCGCGUGCGGGAUGACGUCCUACGAGUGGUAAACCGAUGUCGCCUGUAACGAAGCGAGAGUGACGGUAAUGGGUAAGAAAGCACCGGCUAACUACGUG